rnacentral:rRNA from 1 species
GAUGAACGCUGGCGGCGUGCCUAAUACAUGCAAGUCGAGCGAACAGACGAGGAGCUUGCUGCUCGGACGUUAGCGGCGGACGGGUGAGUAACACGUGGAUAACCUACCUAUAAGACUGGUAUAACUUCGGGAAACCGGAGCUAAUACCGGAUAAUAUAUUGAACCGCAUGGUUCAAUAGUGAAAGUCGGUUUUGCUGUCACUUAUCGAUGGAUCCGCGCCGCAUUAGCUAGUUGUUAAGGUAACGGCUUACCAAGGCAAGGAUGCGUAGCCGACGGGAUAGGGUGGUCGGCCACCCUGGAACUGAGACACGGUCCAGGGUCCUGCGGGAGGGAGCAGUAGGGAAUCUUCCGCAAUGGGCGGAAGCAUGACGGAGCAACGCCGCGUGAGAGACGAAGGUCUUGGGAUCGUAAAAAUCUGUUAUUAGGGAAAAACAAAUGUGUAAGUAACUAUGCACGUCUUGACGGUAACUAAUCAGAAAGCCACGGCUAACUACGUG